rnacentral:rRNA from 1 species
AGCAGCCGCGGUAAUUCCAGCUCCAAUAGCGUAUAUUAAAGUUGUUGCAGUUAAAAAGCUCGUAGUUGAAUUUCGGGGUUAGUAGGUUGGUCAUGCCUCUGGUAUGUACUGAUCUCACUGAUUCCUCCUUCCUUAUGAACCGUAAUGCCAUUAAUUUGGUGUUGCGGGGAAUUUGGACUGUUACUUUAGAAAAAAUUAGAGUGUUUAAAGCAAGCUAACGCUUGAAUACAUUAGCAUGGAAUAAUGAAAUAGGACGUUCGAUCUUAUUUUGUUGGUUUCUAGGAUUGACGUAAUGAUUAAUAGGGAUAGUUGGGGGCAUUAGUAUUCAAUUGUCAGAGGUGAAAUUCUUGGAUUUAUUGAAGACUAACUACUGCGAAAGCAUUUGCCAAGGAUGUUUUCAUUAAUCAAGAACGAAAGUUAGGGGAUCGAAGACGAUCAGAUACCAUCGUA